rnacentral:rRNA from 1 species
GUAGUUAGCCGGGGCUUCCUCCUUGGGUACCGUCACUUCCUUCGUCCCCAAGGACAGAGGUUUACAAUCCGAAAACCUUCUUCCCUCACGCGGCGUUGCUGGGUCAGGCUUUCGCCCAUUGCCCAAUAUUCCCCACUGCUGCCUCCCGUAGGAGUCUGGACCGUCUCUCAGUUCCAGUGUGGCCGUUCGCCCUCUCAGGCCGGCUACCGAUCGUCGCCUUGGUGGGCCGUUACCUCACCAACUAGCUAAUCGGACGCGAGCUCACCCCAAACCGGAUUGCUCCUUUUCCCUCAAGGCCAUGUGACCUCGUGGGCUUACGCGGUAUUAGCAGAUGUUUCCAUCUGUUAUCCCCCUGUCUGGGACAGAUUGCUCACGCGUUACUCACCCGUCCGCCGCUAGGUUUGACCGAAGUCUCCCCUCGCUCGACUUGCAUGUGUUAGGCACGCCGCCAGCGUUCGUCCUGAGCCAUGAUCAAACUCUGA